AGUGAACGCUGGCGGUAGGCCUAACACAUGCAAGUCGAACGGCAGCACAGUAAGAGCUUGCUCUUACGGGUGGCGAGUGGCGGACGGGUGAGGAAUACAUCGGAAUCUACUUUUUCGUGGGGGAUAACGUAGGGAAACUUACGCUAAUACCGCAUACGACCUACGGGUGAAAGCAGGGGAUCUUCGGACCUUGCGCGAUUGAAUGAGCCGAUGUCGGAUUAGCUAGUUGGCGGGGUAAAGGCCCACCAAGGCGACGAUCCGUAGCUGGUCUGAGAGGAUGAUCAGCCACACUGGAACUGAGACACGGUCCAGACUCCUACGGGAGGCAGCAGUGGGGAAUAUUGGACAAUGGGCGCAAGCCUGAUCCAGCCAUACCGCGUGGGUGAAGAAGGCCUUCGGGUUGUAAAGCCCUUUUGUUGGGAAAGAAAGGCAGCAGGUUAAUACCCCGCUGUUCUGACGGUACCCGAAGAAGAAGCACCGGCUAACUUCGUG
rnacentral:rRNA from 1 species